UACGGAGGGGGCUAGCGUUGUUCGGAAUUACUGGGCGUAAAGCGCGCGUAGGCGGCUUCGUAAGUUAGAGGUGAAAGCCCAGGGCUCAACCCUGGAAUUGCCUUUAAGACUGCAUCGCUUGAACAUCGGAGAGGUAAGUGGAAUUCCGAGUGUAGAGGUGAAAUUCGUAGAUAUUCGGAAGAACACCAGUGGCGAAGGCGACUUACUGGACGAUUGUUGACGCUGAGGUGCGAAAGCGUGGGGAGCAAACAGG
rnacentral:rRNA from 1 species